UGGGGAAUAUUGGACAAUGGGCGAAAGCCUGAUCCAGCCAUGCCGCGUGUGUGAAGAAGGUCUUCGGAUUGUAAAGCACUUUAAGUUGGGAGGAAGGGCAGUUACCUAAUACGUGAUUGUUUUGACGUUACCGACAGAAUAAGCACCGGCUAACUCUGUGCCAGCAGCCGCGGUAAUACAGAGGGGGCAAGCGUUAAUCGGAAUUACGGGGCGUAAAGCGCGCGUAGGUGGUUUGUUAAGUUGGAUGUGAAAUCCCCGGGCUCAACCUGGGAACUGCAUUCAAAACUGACUGACUAGAGUAUGGUAGAGGGUGGUGGAAUUUCCUGUGUAGCGGUGAAAUGCGUAGAUAUAGGAAGGAACACCAGUGGCGAAGGCGACCACCUGGACUAAUACUGACACUGAGGUGCGAAAGCGUGGGGAGCAAACA
rnacentral:rRNA from 1 species